rnacentral:rRNA from 1 species
CCUACGGGAGGCAGCAGUGAGGAAUAUUGGUCAAUGGACGCAAGUCUGAACCAGCCAUGCCGCGUGCAGGAAGACGGCUCUAUGAGUUGUAAACUUCUUUUGUACGAGGGUAAACGCAGAUACGUGUAUCUGUCUGAAAGUAUCGUACGAAUAAGGAUCGGCUAACUCCGUGCCAGCAGCCGCGGUAAUACGGAGGAUCCGAGCGUUAUCCGGAUUUAUUGGGUUUAAAGGGUGCGUAGGCGGUCGGAUAAGUUAGAGGUGAAAUCCCGAGGCUCAACUUCGGAAUUGCCUUUGAUACUGUUCGUCUAGAGAGUAGUUGCGGUAGGCGGAAUGCAUGGUGUAGCGGUGAAAUGCUUAGAGAUCAUACAGAACACCGAUUGCGAAGGCAGCUUACCAAGCUACUUCUGACGUUGAGGCACGAAAGCGUGGGGAGCAAACAGGAUUAGAUACCCUUGUAGUC